rnacentral:rRNA from 1 species
AACGAACGCUGGCGGCAUGCCUAACACAUGCAAGUCGAACGAGACCUUCGGGUCUAGUGGCGCACGGGUGCGUAACGCGUGGGAACCUGCCCUUAGGUUCGGAAUAACUCCCCGAAAGGGGUGCUAAUACCGGAUAAUUUCUUCGGACCAAAGAUUUAUCGCCUUUGGAUGGGCCCGCGUUGGAUUAGCUAGUUGGUAGGGUAAGAGCCUACCAAGGCGACGAUCCAUAGCUGGUCUGAGAGGCUGAUCAGCCACACUGGGACUGAGACACGGCCCAGACUCCUACGGGAGGCAGCAGUGGGGAAUAUUGGACAAUGGGCGAAAGCCUGAUCCAGCACUGCCGCGUGAGUGAUGAAGGCCUUAGGGUUGUACAGCUCUUUUACCCGGGAUGAUAAUGACAGUACCGGGAGAAUAAGCACCGGCUAACUCCGUG